GCCGGGCACGCUGGUGGCCGCCGGGAGGGUCGGCCGGCCGCGCUCCCUGGGUGGUUGCGAGUCCCUCGGCCUCUGGCCCCCGGCCCAGGCAGCCCCGGCGGCGGGGCAAGGCGGUAAUUGCCCCGAGACGCGGCGCUUAUCCGGGCGCGUUGUGCAAGGUUGCGCUAGCAGAACCCGGGGCGGCGGCUCUCACGCUCGGCUCCGAGCCCGCGGGCUUGUCCGCCUCCGUCCUCGCGGGGACCUUCGGCCGCCUGACUAGAGUCCAGUUGCUUCUGCCACUGAUGGCGUUUUUGGAUGACCUUGGGAAGUUUGCGGGCCUCCUCUCUGAGUUAAACGAUGACGCCUGAGAAAGCGAGAGAGUACGUAGGUACAGCCCUCUUAGCAAUGUUUCUCUGUGACUUCCAUGACUACAGGAGAAGAUGGAUCAGCCGUAGUUCCCACCCAGGAAGCUGUGAUUCCAGCAGAAAAGAGCAAACAAGGACAAGUGGCUAUUUUUCAAUGCAGAAAGAGAUCAGGACCCCAAAAAGGAACAGACCAAAGAUAGUUUCCAGAGCCACAAUGAUUCCUGGAAUCAACCCCCUUCGUCAAUCCUGAAGCAGAAUUGCCUGGAUGAGCAGAGGAAUAACACUCAAGAUCCAAUGGAAAGGGGCGUUGGUGGCUCAUGUCUACAAUCCUGACGCUCUGAAGGCUGAGGCAGGGGGAAGUCCAGGAGUUCCAGGCCAGCCUGAGCUGUAGCAUGAAACCCUCUGUCAACAAGAAUGAGAUCACCUGGGAGGUCAGACAUCCGCCCUGAAAGAUUAAUUUUAGGUACCCUCUCCCACCCUGAGGAUUAUCUUCCCGUCUAGCCGCAUCCUCUGAUGGACAGAAGCUCUGGAUUUUGAGAACGCCCUCUGGAUCAGUUUUUGUCAUUGCUGUUGCCUAUGCUCUGGUGUCGUGUGGAAGAAACCAUUACCAAGCCAAGGACAUGCACACUUCCUCAUAUAUUCCUCCUCUAAGACUUUCCUCAGCUUUGUCUCUUACGUAGGUGUUUGGUGGAUUCUGGAUUAAUCUUUCCAUGUUACGUAGGGUACGGGCCCCGUUCAUUCUCAGGCUCAUAGGCAUGCAGUUCCCAUACCAUGUCACAAAGACGGUUCUUUACCCCGCUGGAUGGUCUUGGUCCUCUUGUCAAAAAUCAGUUGAAGCCUGGGCCUGCAAAGAUAGUUUAGUGGUUAAAACUGGAUACUCACCUUGUGGAGAACCAGGUUUGGUUUCCAGCACCCACGCAGGUAGUUCACACCACCUGUAACUCCAGCCCAAGGGUGUAGGAGGUGCUCUUUGAGCUGCCAGCCAGCCCCCUUAUCAUGGCUGCUCAGCUUUAUCUUAUGCUUGUCCCACUAGCUCUUAUAACUCAAUUCAACCUGUAUACAAGUUCCAGAGGGCUAAAUGCGUGUGUGCACAGAGGUGCUUGGCCUAUUGCAAGCAUGUCUAGAUGGAGGGCUAAACGUUCCCACCAGUCAACAGAACCUUCCUCCGUACCCACUUCCCUUCAGCCACAAAGUAGGGAGUCCUUACUGUCUGCUGUUGCUGAAUCUCCACCCAGCACUGGACGAUCCCUGGAGGACACUAACAGCCAGACUUCCGUACCCGUGGAACUCAUCACAACGAGAUUUUAUACAAGCUUGAGACAAAAAGUGUGUUGAACCAAACUAUGUUUGACUAUUUUUUUAAAUUACUUUCUAAAAUAUUAAUCACAUCAUGUAUACUCGAGAACUAGAAAUAGCUUAAAUGUCCAGCACCAAGGAAAGGCCUGAGUUAACUAUAACGAUAGUGAAGGCCAAUGAAGCAUGCGGACAUCAAAGGAGAGAAUAUGAGCAGUGAGCAACAUGACAGGGAACCUAUGAAGUGAAGUUGAGCAGAGAAAGUGGGUCACGGAAAUGCCUGUAUAUGCGGAUUAGUGCUGUAAUUAUCUGUGUAUUGCAUGCCAAGCGCUUUAUAAUAUUAUCCCAUCUCAUUCUUAUGGCUUUGGAAUUUGGUAUGAACAUCUCACUUGCACAUUUAAAAAGACUGGAGAUUCAUAGAGAUUCACACACUCUAGUUGGUACGAUAUACAAGCAUGACGCUAACCCAGGUACACUAUAUCCAGACUUCUCUCCCUGAUGUCUUCAUGGCAGCAAAACCAACUCUAUAGGGAUAGCAAUAUUCACAGUGAGACAAAAGCUGAAAACUAGAGAACCAGGCAGAGGGGGAUGAGUGCAUUGUUAAUUGUCUUUUUUUUUUAAUUUAUUUAUUUAUUGAGGAUUUCCGCCUCCUCCCCGCCACUGCCCCUCACCUCCCCCCGCCCCCCGAUGUUAAUUGUCUUAUAAAAUACUGUUUGAGUGGUAAUUUCAGCCUUUUUGAGGGUAUUUGAGAAACUGCUGGUGAUAGUACUAGUCACCACAG